CCAUACUGUGUCUGUACUGCCAUGCACCUAUAAUACGUUGUAUAGUGAAAAUCCACCCUUCCUUGGCAAUAGUCUAGAAGCAGUUUUUCGAACCUCUCACGCUGCAGUGCUUAGACAUGCUUUACUGCGUUACUGAACGAUACCAAGAGUGACAGAACUCUUUUAAAUAUGCCCCCUCUGUCCUGCUACUUCCGUCACGCUGCCUGCGUCGUCGGCCUCACUUUCGCGCAUCACUUCCGCUUCAGCAAGCGUCAUUCCCACAAUCUACUUUUCCUCAUCGAACUGUGCUAAUCGCAUGGGCUCAGGUCAUGUCCGGCCUUUUUUUGCGGAACCCAUAGACGCGAAAGAGCGUCGUCCGCUCUAGGGUGAGAACGUCGCUAUUCACAUAAUAGCAUUUAGACAACGUUCGUCGUCGACAUGUUUUCCUAAGUUACCAAACUGUAGUGCAACGCGUUGAGACAUUCACGCUAUUCGACGACAAGGUACAGUUCUUAAAGUUUAUCGUCAAAUCUUUUUCUCCCAACCUCGACACGGUCCCGUUGAACCCCACCCCGAGGCACGUGUCAGCCAAUUGACCAGCAAGGACUUAUAAAGAAGAAUAAGAAAAGCGGCAUAAAACUUUGGUGGGCACAACAGGCGACAAAUGCGACCCAUCUGCGCAUAGGCGGGACAGUGAAGGAAAAUAUUCUCGCAAGCGUCGUUUUUUCCAUGGAAAUUUUAUCUGGCACGUCGAGCAGAAGUACGCGGCGAUGCGACGCGCACCGUCGUGCCGUUCCUUCAGUGCGGACGGCCAGCAUUGACAGCGAACUUAUGAUAGCGAUCAUCGCGUCUGACGCAUGUAACCACAACGGCGAUCGACAUCCAGGCACGACAGUGAGAUUACUCGUUCUCUGAUGUUACGUGUGAACGUUAACAUACAAUAUCAAUAUCGUAAAUAAUGCAGCGGCUCAUGCAGGUCGAAUCGUGCCUAUAAACCUACCUCGUUACAUUCGCCUAUGCUGCAGCGAAAAUUGCCGACCUGGUUUACCUAAUCCGUCUUCUAACAUAGUAAAAAAACAAAAUAAAUAGUACGAGAGCUCAUAUUAACUUCGAAAUCACGUCUUUAACACUAGAAGAAUAUUGACGGGUCAUUUUUGCAGUGUCUUGGAUAUCGUACAAAUGAUCAAAGAAUAUAAUCACGAGGCUGCUAUUGUUUAUAGAACAGGUAUAUAAACAAGAAACUCAG